rnacentral:misc_RNA from 1 species
GUUUCUAUGCUUAGAGAUGAUGGAAAGACAAAUCUUAAAGAAAGGUACAGGAGAUUCAGUAUUGCUUUCGAGGAGGUAUACAAAAACCAGACACGCUGGUGCAUUCCAGAUCUUCAGCUCCGGGAAGAUCUGCAAAUUUCAACUUCACAGAAAGUAAUCCCUGCUUAUCGAAAUUUUGUUGGGAUUAACAACAGCAAUGU